rnacentral:lncRNA from 1 species
GUGCAUUCACUGUUAAACAAUUUUGAAAUGGCUGCCGCUUAGUGGCAAUAGGGGGAAGGGUGACAUCCGCUAUUGCUUGCAAUGGCAAUUCUAGUUAUUCUUAUUCUUCCAAUGAUUUUUGUCCGGCAGAUUUUUUGAAGGCAAUGGAACCAAUCUUAGUGAUAGUCAACUAUAAUGAGGAACACAAAAUUUCGGGUUGCAGUAGGUCAUAGGACCAUUAAAAAUGGCUGCCGUUACCAUGGAAACGGAACAAAUGUGAAAAAUUCAAUUUUUGGGUUUUGGUGAAUAAUUUGGAGAUGCUUAAACUCAGAAUCAUUAUAUUUUGAUACAAUGUAGGUGCCCACUAUAUACUUCUUUUGGAUGAUUUUUGGCAUUCAUUGGAACUACUAUGUUGCCAUGGAUACUACACCAAAAAUUUCAAAAAUAUCAAAAUGCUCCAAAUUUUUUGAAACUUUAGCAUAACGAUGAGCAACAUUGGUAGAUGUGCAAUUUGGCGUUGGAAUUUUGAAAAUGUCUUGUGUUACCAUGGAAACAAGGCAAAAAUGGUCAAAACGCUUUAAAAAACCUUAAAAGUGGCAUUUACUUCCUUAAAAUGGUAGGUCAAAUUCAUUGAAACUCUGAUGGUAUGUUCCCUUCCAUGUACCAAUGGAGUAUCUGCCAUUAAAAAUUUGGAAUGGUCUGUGUUACCAUAGAAACCAGCCAAAAUGUCAAAAAUUUCAAAAACUUCAAAAUGCUUCAAACUUGAUGAAACUUAAUAUAUUUGUUGACUGUCUAGUCUGCAUGAGACUUUUGAAGUUGGAAUUUCCAAAAUGGCUACCGUUGCCAUGGAAACUGCGGAAAUGUCAAAUAUUUUCAAAAUGCUCCAAACUUAAUGAAACUUAAUAUUAUUGUUUACUGGCAUGUAUAGAUGAGACUUUUGACUUCGGAAUUUUCAAAAUGGCUGCCGUUGCCAUGGAAACAGCAGAAAUGUGAAACUUUUGAAAAUGCUCUUAUAUGUACUGAAAAUUUACAGAAAGAUAUAUCGCAAUUCAUAGAUCUGCAUUCACUGUUAAGUUGUUUUGAAAUGGCUGCCGCUUAGUGGCAAUGGGGGGAAGGGUGACAUCCGCUAUUGCUUGCAAUGGCAAUUCUAGUUAUGUCACCCGAUCGACAAUGUCGGGUGACAUAUUGCUUUUCCUCUGUUUCUUUUUCUGUAUUAUUAUUAUUAUUCUUCCACCUAAUUUUGUCCGCCCGCUUUCUCAGAGCCAAAAGUACCAAUCUGAAUGAUGGUGCACUAUAACAAGGAACCCUGACUUCCCAGAGUCUGUCAACAAAAUUGGAACUAAAAAAUGGCUGCCAUCACCAUGGAAACGGAAAAAUGGUGAAAAAAUAUAAUUUUGGAGUUU